CUGACAGCAGGACCCGGGUGUCACCUUCUUAUCAUUUAAUGGAAAUUUAUUGAGCAUCUGAUAUUGGCAAGGACCAUGAAGAUGCAUAAAAAUGCUCCUUCCCCUCAAGGAAGCAGGACAGCUCAUAAGAAUGGUCCCAAAGCACACACUACACUCGGGAUGGGCGGAAUUCUGUCUGAUUCCAUCUUCCCGCCAUGUUCACGAUGCAGAGAUGGUCACCCUCUCUAGACGUGAAGGCACUGAGGCACACACCGUGGAACUGAACACAUAGGAUCUUCACUUAAGAGUGGGACCGAGAUUUGCAUCCUGGUCUUGUCUCCACACACCUUACACGCACAGGAGCAUCCAGAGGGAAAGGUUAGACAGCACUGGAGACCAGAAUAGUCCUGAGCGUGGCUGCUGGUGCCGGUGCCAGUGGCCUGUGAGCCCCUGUGUGCUCUAACCCAGGGUGCUUGUUGCUUUCUGUGGUCCUAACACUGCAGCCUCUGGGUGGGACUAGGAGCACCAGAGGCACCCACCUUCUCCAACUGACAAGGGGGGCUAGCACCUGUCACUUUCCCCUUCCCAGGGAAGAAGCUGCUGUUGGCCAGUGCGUGGUGAGCAGAAUCUCCGGCUCUGUGACGUGUACAGCCCACCUGGCCUCCACAGACAGGGCUUUCCUCACCCUCCUCAAAGGUCUCAUGGCCAGUUGGCCCAAUCAUACCCUCUACUUAAAAAAAUGAACCAUGCAAUAUGGAGAAUAACUAUAAUGUGUCCUUAGUCAAGUGUCAUUAGGGCUCUGUCCCUAAUACGUGCCACUCACCAGAGAACGAGGAAGUUCCAUCACAGUCACUCAUGUGUGCUGCCCUGGUAGUCUAGGAAGAGCUUCCUGGGCCUGCUCAUCAGACUUCCCAGCAUCCCAAGGUGUCGGAUGGGUCACUGUCCUCUCCCUGUGGCUGAGCAUCUCACUUAGGUGAGGCCACGUGCUGUGGAAUAUUGGGGCACCCUGCUUAGGUAGUUAAAAUCACAGCAAGAGAUUUAUAUCCCAUUUGGGGGAUGAAGAGGCUGUUGUGCACCUCACAACACCAACCAUGCUUUGUGCUGAAAAACAGAAAUUGGGUUUUCCAUUGCCUGCCUUCCCACUGGGUCUGGAUUCUGGAACAUGGCACUACUCUGUGGAGAGCCCCUUCAGUUGGCCCAUGAAGAUGGACUCAGCGGGAGGAGGUCAGAGGAAGAGCAGCUCUUCUCUGGAGUCUCUGACAGUCCCCUCUUGAUGGUUCUCCUGAUGACCUUAGGUGCCGGCCACACAUCGGCCUCUGUGUACCUCCCAGCAGCGCGGCUGACCCCUGGGUCUCCCCUGCCCAUCGCUCACCUCCUGGGGACUGCGAACGUGUUGCACCAGCCACUUUGCCUUUGCCAUGAGGAACAUUGCUGACCCUUGGACGGGAACGUGAGUGUUUUAGUGGCAACACACCCAGAAACUGAGUCUUGUAUUCUGAUAGCUCCACAGACCUGGCCAAACAACAGUUGCUUUUUUGUGCUAAAAUGUGAUGGAAAGGGAUGGGCCAAGGAGAGGCUUCCAACCCCUGAGAGGUACCACUUGGAAAAAGAGCUCAUUCCGAGAAGAGAGAGCAUGACGUUCAGAACUGGGGUAGCUCCCUGCUGUGCACACAGUGCAGGGGUGCUGGUCAGAGUGGCGGGGCCAAGGUGUAGGAGCGUGUCUGUUAUGGGAAGCAGCCUAGCAUCCUGAGUGGCCUGGGCAGCUAUGAGCACUACUGACAGAACUUACCACCUGACAAGAGAACGACAUGAAGGUACAGACUCCCGUGUCCUCUUCUGAGGAAUGGAGCUGCUACUGCUGCCGCCAUGGGCAGCUUUAAUGACAGAGGUUCAGGGAAAUCGUGCAGAGCAAGUGGGAUGUCUGUCCACGUGGUAAUGGCCCCCUCCACAGGAGCUCUGCAGGGACCCAGG
rnacentral:lncRNA from 1 species